rnacentral:rRNA from 1 species
UCAGACGAUGCGUCAUGCAUAUCAAUAAGCGGAGGAAAAGAAACUAACAAGGAUUCCCUUAGUAACGGCGAGUGAAGCGGGAAGAGCUCAAAUUUGAAAUCUUCAAGGUUUUACCUUGACGAAUUGUAGUUUAAAGAAGUGUUUUCUGUUGAAGUUUUGGUGAAAGUUCUUUGGAAUAGGACAUCAUAGAGGGUGAGAAUCCCGUAUUUGACCAUUAUUUUCAGCUGUGUGAUACACUUUCAAAGAGUCGGAUUGUUUGGGAAUGCAGUCCAAAAUGGGUGGUAAAUCUCAUCUAAAGCUAAAUAUUGGCGAGAGACCGAUAGCGAACAAGUACCGUGAGGGAAAGAUGAAAAGAACUUUGAAAAGAGAGUUAAACAGUACGUGAAAUUGUCAAAAGGGAAGCGUUUGACACCAGUGUUGUUUUCUCGAAAAUCAAUUAAAAAGAGUUAGAUUUUGUUGUGUAUCGACCUUAACAGCUUGCAUUUCAAUUUUCUUGCUUUUUUUAAUGCACUUUUCGUUUAACAAGUCAACAUCAGUUUCUUUUGUUGUAAAAGGGUCAUUGGAAGGUGGCUUUCUUUUCGGAGAAAGUGUUUAUAGCCUUUGGCCUCUGCAAUCGGAGAGACUGAGGUCUGCAGCGUAGACUCUUCGGGGUUAGAUACAUUUGUGCUAAGUUAUAGCUUUUUAUAGACAACUUGUUGACUAUAAUUAGUCUUGUAGCUUACUCGCUUAUGCUAUUUUACCUACGCUUAGGAUGUUGAGUCGUAGAGCACGCAG